GAUGAACGCUGGCGGCGUGCCUAAUACAUGCAAGUCGAGCGAACAGACGAGGAGCUUGCUCCUCUGACGUUAGCGGCGGACGGGUGAGUAACACGUGGAUAACCUACCUAUAAGACUGGGAUAACUUCGGGAAACCGGAGCUAAUACCGGAUAAUAUAUUGAACCGCAUGGUUCAAUAGUGAAAGACGGUUUUGCUGUCACUUAUAGAUGGAUCCGCGCCGCAUUAGCUAGUUGGUAAGGUAACGGCUUACCAAGGCAACGAUGCGUAGCCGACCUGAGGGGGUGAUCGGCCACACUGGAGCUGAGACACGGUCCAGACUCCUACGGGAGGCAGCAGUAGGGAAUCUUCCGCAAUGGGCGAAAGCCUGACGGAGCAACGCCGCGUGAGUGAUGAAGGUCUUCGGAUCGUAAAACUCUGUUAUUAGGGAAGAACAAAUGUGUAAGUAACUAUGCACGUCGUGACGGUACCUAAUCAGAAAGCCACGGCUAACUACGUG
rnacentral:rRNA from 1 species